rnacentral:misc_RNA from 1 species
AACGCACGAGACCUGCGGACCUGCGGAAGGAUCAUUAAUGAGAAGCUGCCCCUCGUGGGUAGACCUCCCACCCUCUGUGAACUUACCUUUGUUGCUUUGGCAGGCCCGUCCUCUGGACCGCCGGCUUCGGCUGGCCCGUGCCUGCCAGAGGAUUCCAAACCCUGUCUGUCUGUGUUGUCUGAGUCUAUAUGAAAUCGUUAAAACUUUCAACAAUGGAUCUCUAGAUCGGAAGAGCACACG